rnacentral:rRNA from 1 species
CGUCAUCCUUCGGGGUGGCGUUCAGUGGCGCACGGGUGAGUAACGCGUGGGAACCUGCCCCAAGGUCUGGGACAACCGCGGGAAACUGCGGCUAAUACCGGAUGAUCCCCUGGACUUCGGUUCAGGGGCAAAGCUUUAGCGCCUUGGGAUGGGCCCGCGUCCGAUUAGCUAGUUGGUAGGGUAACGGCCUACCAAGGCGUCGAUCGGUAGCUGGUCUGAGAGGACGAUCAGCCACACUGGGACUGAGACACGGCCCAGACUCCUACGGGAGGCAGCAGUGGGGAAUCUUGGACAAUGGGCGCAAGCCUGAUCCAGCGACGCCGCGUGGGUGAAGAAGGCCUUCGGG